GGGCACGCAAGUCAUGUAAAUCCCCAACCUCACACAUAUUUGCAUCCAAUUAUAAUUUCAGACAACCCCUAGCCACACACAGACACACACCUAUACAUCACCACACAGAUACACACCACACACCACACAGAUACACACCACACACAGACCCAAACACAUCACCACACAGAUACACACCACACACACACAUCACCACAGAUACACACCACACACACACAUCACCACACAGAUACACACCACACACCACACAGAUACACACCACACACACACACUCACACUUCACCAGAUUCACACCCCCACACAGAUAACACCAUACACAUCACUACACACAGAUACACACACAGUCACAUACACACCACACACACACACACACCAUCAUACCACACACAGAAACACAUCCACACAUCACCAUACACAGUCAGAUACGCACCACACACAAAUACACAUAACCACACACAGAGUCACAAAUACACCACACACAGACACAGGUAACCCUGGACAGUCACAUAUAACAAGCCUGCCUGACCAUGGCCAACCCUGCUCCAUUAAGCACAAGCAGGCGGUGCCCACCGUGAAGCAUCCACACCCCCACCCUCACACUGCCUGGUGGCUCUCACACAGUCACCGCACGUGAACAAAGCACCCC
rnacentral:lncRNA from 10 species